ensembl:snRNA U4 U4 spliceosomal RNA
AGCUUUGCACAGUGGCAGUAUCAUAGCUAAUGAGGUGUAUCCAAAGCGUGAUUAUUGCUAAUUGAAAACUUUAUCUGAUACACUUGCACAGAGUAAAUACACAAUGGACAAAAAAGCAAUAAAUAAAUG